UCUCUGGGGUUUUUUUCUGUUGUGUUUCGUUUUAUUUUUUCCCUUUAUUGAAUUCCUAAGUGCUCCCCAAACCUUCCUCCAUUUGUGUCCUUCUUAGGGG